rnacentral:lncRNA from 1 species
UUCUUCCUCACAAAUUUCUUUGUGGUUUAUUCCAAUGGUUCUCCAUUCUUUUUAAUUUAUCAAUUGCUUGCUUUCAUUGUGCUCACACAAGAAAAGGAUAAGGUACUCUAUUUUUUAAUUUUUUUUCUCAGCUCUCCUAAAGAUUCUUCUUCUUCAUUUUUUCCCCUCCAUUUUUAGUUGAUUUCAUAGGGGACGUUUUGAUUUCCUCUGUUUUUUUAACUAGAUAUAUGAUUUAAUCUGAGUAAAAAUUUAGGAGGUUAUUUUUUUUUGAUUGAGUUCUUUUUUGUGCAUGUGUUAGCUUUGUCUUGAACUUGAGAGGAAUGACAUUCUUUUGCUUUACUUUCUUUUCUCCCCUACAAAUAAAUGUCACUUUUUGUUCUGAUUUUGCUUCGUGUAGUUCAUUUAUUUUUUUUUAUUUUUUUUUUCAUUUUGCUUAUUUCUUCAACUUUUAUUUCUUACAGCUAUACUGUAUCAUUUUGAGUAAAAUUUUAAAAAAUUUUAGGAGUUUAUAUUUUCUGAUUUUUAUGGAGUUUUUCUCUGUGCAUGUGUUGCCUGUCUUGAGAUAUUUCGAAGUUUUUAAAAAUUUUAAAAAAAUUUAGGAGGUGAUAUUUGCUGCUGCAGAUCCUAUUGGAGGAAGGUAUAGGAGAACUAAAGUUUGAUGCUUUAAGAAAUAGGAUGACCAUAUGCCGAGAAAAUUUUAUUGAUCUUGAAGAAACAGGUGUCCCAUUUUGUCUACCUAAGUUCAUGAGUAAUAUGUCACAUAGUUUUUAUCUAUUCAGUUUCUGCCCUCUAUUAAUCUGGGGAUGUACAUGGAAUUUUUUUUUUUUUUGUUUUAUUUUAUGUGAUAGGGUGCUUCAGAAUACUUUGGAUUAAACCAAUACAAAAGUACUCGAAAUAAAUCUUGUUUUUAAAAACUUAAGUGGGUGCUGCAAGUCUUGAAAUGUCAAGAGCCCCUAUGCACUAAGAUGUAUGAUUACUGCACGAUGUGUUACCCGUCGUUUUGAGGUGACGAGAAAGGGGUGAUAGACACCAUUUGUUCUAGGGGUAGAUUGGGAUUGAUCUCUCUUUCUGCUUUGGGUUUAAAUUCAAGAGAACUGUUUAAAAGACUCACGUUAAUACUAUGGUGAGAUUAAGAAAUGUUAAUGACACAUGCAUUGCUCCGUGUGCUAUGGGAGAAUUAGGAAUCAAAAUUUUUGGAGCGUAAACCUGAAAUGCUCGUGUUUAAUUGCUAUUUUACUUGUUACAAAAGGAUACUCAAUAACCUGAUUUCGUGUAUUAGCGUAUUCUCUGUAUAUUUCCUAAUCAUUUUUUUGCAAGAUAUGAUCUUAAUGUUGCAAUUGCUGCUUAAGAAAGAAAGACAAAUAUAUUAGUAUGAACUUUAGGAAAAUGAUCAACAUGCUUUAUAGGAAAGAGNNNNNNNNNNNNNNNAAAGAGUGUGAAUUCUCAGUAUGUAACAAAGAUUGCCAAAUGCUCUGUGACAGUGGUCUCCUUACCGUUAAAAGACGGUAGUUGCUAAAGCUGAACAUGUCAAGAAUGACUUUGUGAUCCUUCCAAUGUGCUCCCUAGCAUUAUCAAAACGGAUGAGAAAAUAUUCACCUCAUCGCUCGAAAGUGCUUAAGGUUUGCCUAAAAGGAGAAUGUUCAGGGCAGUUUUUCUUCUGUGAUAAAUUUUUUCUUGAGGCGGUUGUGCCAUUAUAGAUGUAUUAUAUCCAUGACUUCACUCUUUUUUCCUUCUUUAUGGAGUCCAUACUAUUUUCAAAUUGUAAUGUCCUCUCAUUGGAAAUUGAUGUUGUACUACCAUUCCUUUGGGUUAGGUAAUCAAUUGCAGAUAGUCUCACAAGUAUGCCUUCAAGGAAAGAAGAAGCUUGCUCGCAAAAGAAAAACUGGAUUUCAGGUCGCCAUUUGCUUCCAAUCUUAUUUCACAAGAAUGUGUUAAUGUGCUUCAAAGCUAACGUGAACUUCAUGCAGUACUGAUGGUGUAUACUUCAUUCUGGUGCAGUCUUUCAAUCUUUCUCAAGCUCGGGCCAACUACACUAGUAUAUAUAUAUAUAUAUAUAUAUUCUCAUGGGUAAUCGGUCUACCCAAUAACCCAAUAAGAAAAAACCAAACCGAAUCAAUAGCCAAAUAAUUUUUUUUAUGUAAAAUCAUUAAAAAAUCAUUAACC